rnacentral:tRNA from 1 species
UGUGUAGUUUAAUAAAACACUAUAUUUUCAUUAUAGAGAUAAAAGUUAUUUUCACAAGUUCCC